UAAUGCUUAAACGUUAACAUGGGGUUUACAAUGAAUAAAAUGGCUAAGGCUCAACGGGGUUUACGAAGGGAAACAUACAUAUAGGGAUGGCUAGAAAGGCCCUGGCUAAACAAACAACUUGCCUCAGUGUGUGUUGUCAUGCUGUGACGUGUCAACAGGACAUACGCAAAAUCAGAGUGAUAAAGUCAUACCUGGCUGAACUCUCAUGUUGAUAUUUCGUGUUUGGCUUUUUGUGAUCUCACCAUGUUGGUUAGCUUGCAAGCUCUGAAAUCUCUUCGUGUUAUGUGGUUCUUUCCUGACUUGGUCUUUCCAUACCGCUUUCUUGGUCCGGUGUCCCCAAAAUGUGUCCGACUUCUUUUCUCAAGGUUGAAUCAACUUCCGGGGUGCCUUAUCAGCCUAAGUUUGAGGAGUGUCAUUCAUCCACUACCAUUGAUCCCGGGCUCGUCCAACCGUUUCUCAUCACCCUGUACACACAGUAGGUCAAAAAGAACAGAAAACAAACAAAACAAACAAACAUACUAAUAUAGUGAUAACAUAACAAAAACAAAACAAAUUGAAAAAAAUUAAAACAUGAAAUGAGAAAA
rnacentral:lncRNA from 1 species